CAGAGCAUGUCAAGAUAUGAAGGUGACUUGGUGGCAAAAUGCUACUUUACAAAGCACAACACCUGUGUAUUAUCCUCUAGUGACUUUAGUUACAAAAGUCUCUGUUCCAUUCAAAAGUCACUACUGCAACAUUAACAACUCACCCAGAGAUACAUAUUAACAGACAACAACAUACCCAUGAUUGCACUCCAUGUCUAUUACAACCAAACAUUUUCUGGCAAAACCUUUGACCAACCACACUAAAUCACCUUUCCUAUUUCACCAAUAUCCAUUCAUUUUGUUCCCCAUAUUUCAGAUUUAAAUAUCUCAAAUCUAUGACUGUGUUGCCCUUGCAAAAAUUGCAGACAACAAACAAAAAAAUUUAGGGUGUUUUCAACCUUCACUGCAUUCCAGAUUUAUGACACUAAUCAGAGCAUCUGUGUAUUAUCCUCUGAUAACUUUUGUUACAAAACUAUUUGUUCCAUCCAAAACUCGCUGCUGCAACAUAAACAACUCACCCAGCUGUGAUUUCAAAGGAAGGAUCCAAGGCCUGCAACACACCAGGCAACUUGAGCCAAUCUCAAAGCCUCCAAUUUCCAUAUGCCAGUUUUGAGGAUUGCGGCAUGGCAGCACUUGUGUAUUGUCCUCUGGUGACUUUCAUUACAAAAGUGUCUGUACCAUUCAAAAGUCACUGCUCCAACAUAAACAGCUCACCCAAAGAUACAUAUUACCAGACAACAACAUACCCAUGAUUGCACUCCAUGCCGAUUACAAACAAACAUUUUCAGGCGCAUGUCACAAGCUCUGCUCAUCUCAUACAACAGAUUCCCAAGAUUGAUGCUUAACACCCUCUCCGAGACCAAAAUCAACUGGAUUGCACUUCAUUCAAGUUGCAAUAGUUACAAAUUGCCUCUGACAAAACUAUGAAGGUUGACUUGCUUGAUAGACAUGACCUUCCUCACCAUGAUAAGCAAAAUAUAUAUUGCCAGUUCCUCUUUCUUGUCAGGCUUUAAAACUCAGCAGGCGUUGUAAUUUAAAACAAGUUGCUCGCAUUG